rnacentral:rRNA from 1 species
AACCCUUGUCAUUAGUUGCUACAUUCAGUUGGGCACUCUAAUGAGACUGCCGGUGACCAAGCCGGAGGAAGGUGGGGAUGACGUCAAGUCCUCAUGGCCCUUAUAGGUGGGGCUACACACGUCAUACAAUGGCUGGUACAAAGGGUUGCCAACCCGCGAGGGGGAGCUAAUCCCAUAAAGCCAGUCGUAGUCCGGAUCGUAGUCUGCAACUCGACUACGUGAAGUCGGAAUCGCUAGUAAUCGCGGAUCAGCAUGCCGCGGUGAAUACGUUCCCGGGCCUU